GAAUGAAUCAAUUGUAAGAAGAGCACUGAUAAUUAUGCAUCAAAGGGAUGAAGUGGAGUACAAACGAGAACGGAGAGUCGUUGUUCGAAAAGCCUAAAGAGUUUAUAUCACAUAAUUUGAUGCCCUCAAGGAAAUUAAGCAGGAAUAUUUGAAUUGUGGAUUUAAAUACUGCCUCUCAACACCUCUAUACAUUAGUGAACUGCAAGUGUAAAAGGUGUAGGUAUGCACACAUGCACUGUGUCUGGUUUGAGUUAUUUUGAGCAAUCUAA
rnacentral:misc_RNA from 1 species